rnacentral:rRNA from 1 species
AGAGUUUGAUCAUGGCUCAGAUUGAACGCUGGCGGCAUGCUUUACACAUGCAAGUCGAACGGGGUGCGGGGGCAACCUUGCAUUCAGUGGCGAACGGGUGAGUAAUGCAUCGGAACGUGUCCCGCAGUGGGGGAUAACUCGGCGAAAGCCGAGCUAAUACCGCAUACGCUCUGCGGAGGAAAGCGGGGGAUCUCGCGAGGGACCUCGUGCUAUGGGGGCGGCCGAUGUCCGAUUAGCUGGUUGGUGGGGUAAUGGCCUACCAAGGCGACGAUCGGUAGCUGGUCUGAGAGGAUGAUCAGCCACACUGGGACUGAGACACGGCCCAGACUCCUACGGGAGGCAGCAGUGGGGAAUUUUGGACAAUGGGGGCAACCCUGAUCCAGCCAUGCCGCGUGCGGGAAGAAGGCCUUCGGGUUGUAAACCGCUUUUAGCCGGGACGAAAGCUGCACGGAUAACACCUGUGCGGGUUGACGGUACCGGCGGAAUAAGCACCGGCUAACUACGUGCCAGCCGCCGCGGUAAUAC